UCUCUCCUUGUCGUCCCCCAUCCUCUCUCUCUCUUAACCUCUCGCCUUGUCCUCCCCUGUCCUCUCUCUCUUGAUCAGAAAAAAUCCCAGGCAAAAAUGGAAGUGUUCUUCUACAUAAGGAUUUUUUUCUCUUUUUGCUCAACACCUUGGUUUUUACCUUGAAAAAACCCUAAUUUUCACCUUCACGUGAUCCCAGCAAUGGAUCUCCGAUUACCCCAGACUUAAAGAAUUAGGAUCAAGAGUACUCUGUGCAUUUUGAAUGGGGAACUGUAUGGGGCAGUGAGAGCAGGAGGCUCUGGUUUGAAGUGUGGUGAUGAAUAUAUUUGGUUUCAAAGCCAUAAAGUAGGUACGAGAGCAUUUAGCGCAUGUAUUUUCAAGGCAAAAAAUUCUUCUUGAUAGAGAUAGAGAGAGAUGGAACAAUGUUGUAAUGAUAUAAUUCGAAUAUGAAUCUUAUACAAGCAGUGCUAAUGGAGAUCUCACACUCUCUCUUAAAUUUUAAAACAAUUAAUGUAUUUUAUUUUGUGCCUACAUGAAAAAAGUUUUUCUUAUUCAACGGGAA